rnacentral:rRNA from 1 species
GAUUAAGUUAUUAAGGGCGCACGGUGGAUGCCUUGGCACUAGAAGCCGAUGAAGGACGUUACUAACGACGAUAUGCUUUGGGGAGCUGUAAGUAAGCUUUGAUCCAGAGAUUUCCGAAUGGGGAAACCUAGCAUGAGUUAUGUCAUGUUAUCGAUAUGUGAAUACAUAGCAUAUCAGAAGGCACACCCGGAGAACUGAAACAUCUUAGUACCCGGAGGAAGAGAAAGAAAAUUCGAUUCCCUUAGUAGCGGCGAGCGAAACGGGAAGAGCCCAAACCAACAAGCUUGCUUGUUGGGGUUGUAGGACACUCUAUACGGAGUUACAAAGGACGACAUUAGACGAAUCAUCUGGAAAGAUGAAUCAAAGAAGGUAAUAAUCCUGUAGUCGAAAAUGUUGUCUCUCUUGAGUGGAUCCUGAGUACGACGGAGCACGUGAAAUUCCGUCGGAAUCUGGGAGGACCAUCUCCUAAGGCUAAAUACUCUCUAGUGACCGAUAGUGAACCAGUACCGUGAGGGAAAGGUGAAAAGCACCCCGGAAGGGGAGUGAAAUAGAACCUGAAACCGUGUGCUUACAAGUAGUCAGAGCCCGUUAAUGGGUGAUGGCGUGCCUUUUGUAGAAUGAACCGGCGAGUUACGAUUUGAUGCAAGGUUAAGCAGUAAAUGUGGAGCCGUAGCGAAAGCGAGUCUGAAUAGGGCGUUUAGUAUUUGGUCGUAGACCCGAAACCAGGUGAUCUACCCUUGGUCAGGUUGAAGUUCAGGUAACACUGAAUGGAGGACCGAACCGACUUACGUUGAAAAGUGAGCGGAUGAACUGAGGGUAGCGGAGAAAUUCCAAUCGAACCUGGAGAUAGCUGGUUCUCUCCGAAAUAGCUUUAGGGCUAGCCUCAAGUGAUGAUUAUUGGAGGUAGAGCACUGUUUGGACGAGGGGCCCCUCUCGGGUUACCGAAUUCAGACAAACUCCGAAUGCCAAUUAAUUUAACUUGGGAGUCAGAACAUGGGUGAUAAGGUCCGUGUUCGAAAGGGAAACAGCCCAGACCACCAGCUAAGGUCCCAAAAUAUAUGUUAAGUGGAAAAGGAUGUGGCGUUGCCCAGACAACUAGGAUGUUGGCUUAGAAGCAGCCAUCAUUUAAAGAGUGCGUAAUAGCUCACUAGUCGAGUGACACUGCGCCGAAAAUGUACCGGGGCUAAACAUAUUACCGAAGCUGUGGAUUGUCCUUUGGACAAUGGUAGGAGAGCGUUCUAAGGGCGUUGAAGCAUGAUCGUAAGGACAUGUGGAGCGCUUAGAAGUGAGAAUGCCGGUGUGAGUAGCGAAAGACGGGUGAGAAUCCCGUCCACCGAUUGACUAAGGUUUCCAGAGGAAGGCUCGUCCGCUCUGGGUUAGUCGGGUCCUAAGCUGAGGCCGACAGGCGUAGGCGAUGGAUAACAGGUUGAUAUUCCUGUACCACCUAUAAUCGUUUUAAUCGAUGGGGGGACGCAGUAGGAUAGGCGAAGCGUGCGAUUGGAUUGCACGUCUAAGCAGUAAGGCUGAGUAUUAGGCAAAUCCGGUACUCGUUAAGGCUGAGCUGUGAUGGGGAGAAGACAUUGUGUCUUCGAGUCGUUGAUUUCACACUGCCGAGAAAAGCCUCUAGAUAGAAAAUAGGUGCCCGUACCGCAAACCGACACAGGUAGUCAAGAUGAGAAUUCUAAGGUGAGCGAGCGAACUCUCGUUAAGGAACUCGGCAAAAUGACCCCGUAACUUCGGGAGAAGGGGUGCUCUUUAGGGUUAACGCCCAGAAGAGCCGCAGUGAAUAGGCCCAAGCGACUGUUUAUCAAAAACACAGGUCUCUGCUAAACCGUAAGGUGAUGUAUAGGGGCUGACGCCUGCCCGGUGCUGGAAGGUUAAGAGGAGUGGUUAGCUUCUGCGAAGCUACGAAUCGAAGCCCCAGUAAACGGCGGCCGUAACUAUAACGGUCCUAAGGUAGCGAAAUUCCUUGUCGGGUAAGUUCCGACCCGCACGAAAGGCGUAACGAUUUGGGCACUGUCUCAACGAGAGACUCGGUGAAAUCAUAGUACCUGUGAAGAUGCAGGUUACCCGCGACAGGACGGAAAGACCCCGUGGAGCUUUACUGUAGCCUGAUAUUGAAAUUCGGCACAGCUUGUACAGGAUAGGUAGGAGCCUUUGAAACGUGAGCGCUAGCUUACGUGGAGGCGCUGGUGGGAUACUACCCUAGCUGUGUUGGCUUUCUAACCCGCACCACUUAUCGUGGUGGGAGACAGUGUCAGGCGGGCAGUUUGACUGGGGCGGUCGCCUCCUAAAAGGUAACGGAGGCGCUCAAAGGUUCCCUCAGAAUGGUUGGAAAUCAUUCAUAGAGUGUAAAGGCAUAAGGGAGCUUGACUGCGAGACCUACAAGUCGAGCAGGGUCGAAAGACGGACUUAGUGAUCCGGUGGUUCCGCAUGGAAGGGCCAUCGCUCAACGGAUAAAAGCUACCCCGGGGAUAACAGGCUUAUCUCCCCCAAGAGUUCACAUCGACGGGGAGGUUUGGCACCUCGAUGUCGGCUCAUCGCAUCCUGGGGCUGUAGUCGGUCCCAAGGGUUGGGCUGUUCGCCCAUUAAAGCGGUACGCGAGCUGGGUUCAGAACGUCGUGAGACAGUUCGGUCCCUAUCCGUCGUGGGCGUAGGAAAUUUGAGAGGAGCUGUCCUUAGUACGAGAGGACCGGGAUGGACAUACCUCUGGUGUACCAGUUGUCGUGCCAACGGCAUAGCUGGGUAGCUAUGUGUGGACGGGAUAAGUGCUGAAAGCAUCUAAGCAUGAAGCCCCCCUCAAGAUGAGAUUUCCCAACUUCGGUUAUAAGAUCCCUCAAAGAUGAUGAGGUUAAUAGGUUCGAGGUGGAAGCAUGGUGACAUGUGGAGCUGACGAAUACUAAUCGAUCGAAGACUUAAUCAA